ACCCUCCUUCAGUCCAUCUCCUUCACGCCUCUCAGUACUUGAAUCACAGAAGUUCCAUUCUUCCUCCCCUCCAAUCUCUCUCUCUCAAUUUGUCGAAUAUCCAAUUUUCUUCUCUACUUAACACAGUCAUCUUUGUCAAUUCGAUCAGCCCAAAUUUGAGUAUAUGAUAAACACUUUUAUCUGUAUGUAUUUGGGUCUUUGAUCCAUUGCAAGUUUGGACAUUGCAGCUAAAGCGAAAUAGGGUUUUUCAUAAUCCUUUCUGGAUACUGAGGAAAUCCGGAAAAGAUUCAAUCUUCCUGGAAAAAAAUUGUUAGUUUUGCAGCUUUGUUGUGAUUGGAACUAAUUUGAGGUUCUGAGGUUUAGGUUUAGUGUCUUUGGAUUUUACUUUUCCUCCGUUUUCUCGGAAAGCAAACAGGGGAUUUGGGAUAAUGCUGGGAGCAGGAUUGCAGCUUGGGCGUGCUCGCGGAGAAGAUCGAUUUUAUAUACCUGUGAAAGCGCGGAAGAAUCAAAGCCACCAGAAGCAACAAAAGCAGCUGGAAGAGAGCCAAGGUAACCGCAGAGCUAGGAGUGAUAAGAGGGAAAGCUUAUCUUUGAAGAGCAAGGUUUCUGAGGAUUCUGUGCCCCCAUCGGUGGUCUCUCGUAGCAACCUUGAUAGGUUCCUUGAAUCCACCAUACCUACCGUCCCGGCUCAAUAUUUCUCUAAGACGACGAUGAGGGGAUGGAGGACUUGUGAUGUGGAGUUUCAAGCUUAUUUCACACUGGCAGAUUUGUGGGAGUCCUUUAAGGAAUGGAGUGCAUAUGGGGCAGGAGUGCCUUUGGUACUUGAUGGAAGUGAUUCUGUCAUUCAAUAUUAUGUCCCGUACUUAUCUGGUAUCCAGUUAUAUGGUGAAUCUUCCGUGAGAUCAAAUAUCAAGUCAAGGCACACUGGAGAGGACAGCGAUGGAGACUAUUAUCGAGAUUCGAGUAGCGAUGUUAGUAGUGAAAAUGAAUUUGAGAAAGCCUUAAAAUACACGAGGGAGCAGCAAGGUCAUUACUUUUUAACAAGUAAGAUUUCUUCCAAAAUGGACGGUGUGUCUUUAAGUGAUGAGAAUAGUACCAUACAAGAGGACUUUUCAAGUGAUGAUGGUGAAUCUGGAAAUUCUCGAGGUUGCCUGCUGUUUGAGUUUCUUGAGCAGGGUACUCCAUACAGCCGUGAACCAUUAGCGAACAAGAUUUCUGAUCUUGCUUGCUGCUUUCCUGGUCUGAAGACAUUAAGAAGUUGUGAUUUACUGCCGACCAGUUGGAUAUCCGUGGCAUGGUAUCCUAUUUACCGAAUACCCACAGGUCCCACCUUGAAGGAUUUGGAUGCCUGUUUUCUAACUUACCAUUCCCUUUCCUCACCCUUGGGAGGCAAUGGAAAUUCCCAGGGUCCAGUAGUGGUCUAUCCUAGUGAGAUGGACGGCGUCCCAAAGAUAAACCUACCUUCUUUUGGAAUGGCUUCUUAUAAAUUCGAAGGAUCAAUGUGGAAAGAAAAUGGAGCAAAUGAACUUCCUCUCGUCAAUUCCCUCUUACUGGCAGCUGAAAACUGGCUGAGACUGCUUCAAGUCAAUCACCCAGAUUUCCAGUUCUUUGCUUCAAAUGGGUAUCACAGGUGAAUGUAAUAAGAAAGAGAUUACUCAACAUUAUAGAUCAGCGCUUCAAUUUUUUUAAAAAAAAGGCCAAAAGAACCGUGCUUCUUCAUUGUUCAGUUUAGGCUUAAAGCCUUUUCAAGUUGCAGGCAUAUCAGAAUGUGCUGACUGAGGGUGGUGUUUCUAGACUGAAUGAAAAGAGAAAAUUAGAAGUAAUAGAAGAUCUGGAAGGAUCAACAACGGUUUAGAAAAGAAGAGAGGAGGAGAAACAAAAUCUACAUCCCUACACAUAACCAAGAGGCCCAAGAUUGGAAGAAGAAAGUAAAUAAGAAGAGCGCGGGAAUGUAUUACAGUUUAGCUACAGAAAAUUGAAAGACACAUCUAAAAGGGCCAUUUGGUUUUGUUUUAAUGUGAUACUUAUGUUUUGAGAACAAUAUAUGUAGUUGUGUUUGUGGAUUUAAGCAAUCCAUGUUAACGAGGCGAAUUUCGGCCUGUCCUUUCUGUAGUUGACAGUCGUGUGUUGAUUUUACCUCAUAAAUGAAAAUGGAACAUAUAUGUUAUUGGAUGUUUAUAUGUUAUUGCAAUGCAGUUUGUGUUUGCCUAAUAGAGAGUGGAAGGCACCUACAAUGUUUGCUUUUAUUCAUGAACUUUUGUGCUCCACUCUCUAAUGAUGGUAAAGCAGUGUGGAUUGAUUUUCUUUAGGAUUUUGAGAGACUAGUCUUGAUUGAGCAAGCUCAACCGUGAUUAAGCUCGACUUCAGUUGAAUGAAGUUUGAAGUUCUGACAUGAGUUUGCCCUUUAAUCUCCGAGGAGAAUGUGCUUGAGCUGGAAGCAAAUGAAGGAUCUGGAUACCAAAUAGAAGAGGAAGAAAACACAAAGAACACAGAAGACCCUCAAAUUUCUUGGCAAACAACUUUUUCCAUCAUACAGAGGACACAUUUUUAUUUGUCAUUCAAGGGAGACCCUGCGGAUCAAAUAUACAUGGAGGUCGAGCUAAGGCGCUUGACUUGGUUGGAGCAGCAUUUGGCAGAGCUUGGGAAAAGCUUUUAGGAUUUUGUGAAGGUGGGAAUAUGUCAAAAGGAGAUGUUUGAGCUCCAUUUUGCAGUUCCAACUGACAAGAGGCCGCAAAUUAUGGGUUGGAACCCGAUUUCAAAUCUUCUCAACCUGUGAGAAACCUCAUUUUGUUUAUAACUACUUUCCAUUCUGAAUCCAGAUAGCUAAGAUUUGACUAGGGUUUUGGUUUAAAACUUCAA